GAGAAGGCUAACCACCAUAUGAUAAUGACCUAAUUAUAAGUUAAACAAAGACACUGUUUAAAUAAAACACACAUAAUUGGACAUAAGAGCAAUAAAGCCAUAGAAAAUGGCAUAUUAUAUAGGUAUUGUUAUGUGCCAAUGGUUUUUGUUUUUCUCCAACACUACUGCUCUUAUUGUAUUAAUUUUUAUGUGGACCUUUAACUCAUGCGUUUGGAAUACUGAUUUGGUGGGCCAAAUCUUACAUAGGGCAUAACAAAAAAGCUUGCAUGGAUGAAUGCAAUAGAAGAUCUUUAUUCUUCUGACUCUGAUUCAAAAGCUAAGAAGACUUGUAAUAAUUUAGGGUAAAGAAAAGUAAAAAUAU